rnacentral:tRNA from 1 species
GCCGGUGUGGCCCAAUUGGUAGAGGCAAGCGACUCAAAAUCGUUGUAGUGCGGGUUCGAAUCCCGCUUCCGGUA